rnacentral:tRNA from 1 species
AGCGGGGUAGAGCAGUGGUCAGCUCGCCUGGCUCAUAACCAGGAGGUCGUUGGUUCAAAUCCAACCCCCGCAA